rnacentral:rRNA from 1 species
ACUCAAAUGAAUUGACGGGGGCUCACACAAGCGGUGGAGCAUGUGGCUUAAUUCGAGGCUACGCGAAGAACCUUAUCCUGGGCUUGACAUACGCGAAAGCGCGAGGAAGUAGCCCGCGGAAACGUGGGGCCAACGGUAUCCAGUCCGGAACCUCGCACAGGUGCUGCAUGGCUGUCGUCAGCUCGUGUCGUGAGAUGUCGGGUUAAGUCCCAUAACGAGCGAAACCCCUGUUUCCAGUUGCCAGCGCCUCGGGCGGGGACUCUGGAAAGACUGCCGGUGUCAAACCGGAGGAAGGUGGGGAUGACGUCAAGUCCUCAUGGCCCUUACGCCCAGGGCUGCACACGUGCUACAAUGGCGUACACAAAGGGAUGCCAACGCGCGAGCGGGAGCCAAUCCCAAAAAAUACGCCCCAGUUCAGAUCGAAGGCUGCAACUCGCCUUCGUGAAGUUGGAAUCGCUAGUAAUCGCGGGUCAGCAACACCGCGGUGAAUGUGUUCCUGAGCCUUGCACACACCGCCCGU